rnacentral:rRNA from 1 species
AACGCGAAGAACCUUACCGGGGUUUGAACCGUACGGGACCGCUGCAGAGAUGUAGCUUUCCUUCGGGACCCGUAUAGAGGUGCUGCAUGGCUGUCGUCAGCUCGUGCCGUGAGAUGUUGGGUUAAGUCCCGCAACGAGCGCAACCCUCGUCCUAUGUUGCCAGCGGGUAAUGCCGGGGACUCAUAGGAGACCGCCGGGGUCAACGCGGAGGAAGGUGGGGAUGAUGUCAAGUCAUCAUGCCCCUUAUGUCUUGGGCUUCACACAUGCUACAAUGGCCGGUACAAAGGGCUGCUAAACCGCAAGGUGGAGCGAAUCCCAAAAAGCCGGUCUCAGUUCGGAUUGGGGUCUGCAACUCGACCCCAUGAAGUCGGAGUCGCUAGUAAUCGCAGAUCAGCAACGCUGCGGUGAAUACGUUCCCGGGCCUUGUACACACCG